GAUGAACGCUGGCGGCGUGCCUAAUACAUGCAAGUCGAGCGAACAGACGAGGCGCUUGCUCCUCUGACGUUAGCGGCGGACGGGUGAGUAACACGUGGAUAACCUACCUAUAAGACUGGGAUAACUUCGGGAAACCGGAGCUAAUACCGGAUAAUAUCUUGAACCGCAUGGUUCAAUAGUGAAAGACGGUUUUGCUGUCACUUAUAGAUGGAUCCUCGCCGCAUUAGCUAGUUGGUAAGGUAACGGCUUACCAAGGCAACGAUGCGUAGCCGACCUGAGAGGGUGAUCGGCCACACUGGAGCUGAGACACGGUCCAGACGCCUACGGGAGGCAGCAGUAGGGAAUCUUCCGCAGUGGGCGAAAGCCUGACGGAGCAACGCCGCGUGAGUGAUGAAGGUCUUCGGUUCGUAAAACUCUGUUAUUAGGGAAGAACAAAUGUGUAAGUAACUAUGCACGUCUUGACGGUACCUAAUCAGAAAGCCACGGCUAACUACGUG
rnacentral:rRNA from 1 species